UACGAAGGGGGCUAGCGUUGCUCGGAAUCACUGGGCGUAAAGGGUGCGUAGGCGGGUUUUUAAGUCAGGGUGAAAUCCUGGAGCUCAACUCCAGAACUGCCUUUGAUACUGAAGAUCUUGAGUCCGGGAGAGGUGAGUGGAACUGCGAGUGUAGAGGUGAAAUUCGUAGAUAUUCGCAAGAACACCAGUGGCGAAGGCGGCUCACUGGCCCGGUACUGACGCUGAGGUGCGAAAGCGUGGGGAGCAACAGG
rnacentral:rRNA from 1 species